rnacentral:tRNA from 1 species
GCUGCGCUAGCUCAGUUGGUAGAGCGCAACCUUGCCAAGGUUGAGGUCACGAGUUCGAACCUCGUGUGUCGCUCCA